AAGCGGAAGCGGGAGUGGAGAUAACAGUGCUGACCUGCCAGCGGGGCCACUGGGAAACCAGGUCUUCCACCUGGCCAUUCCCCUCCCAAGGUCCCUUUCCAGAUUCCAAAGCUCCUGCCUGGUAAGUGACCCCUCCAUUGUCCCAGUCAGCCGUGUUGGAAGCCUGGGGGAGUACUCCAUCCCCAUAGUCAGGCGCCCAGCGUGGUUCUCAGGGUGGGCACUUGGGCAGGCCUUCUGCCUGCGGGCGUGUGCCCACCUUUCUGAGCACUUCUGUCCCGUAGGAGAUCAGGAGCGUCGUGGGGGGCAGGGGCUUUGUCUGAUGCAGGCCUUUGUUUCUCCCUGUUCACUGGGCCCACAAGUUCCUGAGCUCAGCCUACCUCGUUGCCCAGCAGCAAGAAGUCAUUUAGGGAGGGGAGUUUUAAACCAUGAAAAGGAACUUCGUGUUAUGCCAAGAGGAGCGGGAGGCGGGAGGGAGCAGAAGAAGCGGGGGAGGGGACCCUGCUCUGCCUCCUUAACCCUGUAAUCUUUCCAUGCAGCUGUAGCCAGUGACAUGUUGUAAAACCCCAAAUCUGACCCUGCCCCCCCAAUAAAGCCCUCCCAUGCUCCCCAUCACCCUCAGGGUAGUGUCCCCACAGCUCCGAGAGCCUCCAGGCAGGCUCUACCUCCUCCACUCCACCUGCUCCAGCCAAGCCAGGACUCAGCAGGGUCAGCGGCCUGUCCUGCUCACCUUUCACACCUCCACUUAGAACGAUCACAUUCACACACACUCUACCCAGUUGUGUCGUUUGGUAAUUGCUUGAUUCUGUCUCUCCCAAACAGGUACUCGUUUCCUGUGUCGAAGGGGUGUGUGGGGCGGGCCUUCGUGCCCUCAAUACCCUCUUUCCCACGGGGUAGGGGUGGACCGAGGGAGGCUCUAGGGAGAUGUCUGGUUUAAAUAUGGAUAUAUAAAGAUGCUUCGUGAGGGUGUGAUGGGACCAUUCACGUGUGUCCCCAGCCCAGCCUGGUACUGGCAAGUGCCUGGUGUUUGUGGAAGGAAGGCCUGGUGGAAUGCCUGUCGUCCUAAGCGGCAUCUGGAGGGAAAAAUGAGUCCUGAAAUGGGCUGGGCCUUGCUCAGAGUGACCAGCCAGCCAGCAGCCCACAGCUCUCCCUCGAGAGGCCAGGCUACUCCAGACAACAGGUAUUGAGCACCUGCAGUGUUCUUAUUCAGUGUCUGUUCUUCAAGGACCUCGUGACUUAAAGACCUCCUACACGGAAAACCUGGAGACUUGACAUGGUUGGGGGAUGUGCCUCGGAAAUACACAGAGAAUUUAACAGCUACGAGGUUCUGUGCAAGUGCUCUCGCCUCUCUGCGUCUCAGUUUGCUUGCUCAUCUGUUCAGUGGGGAUAAUGAGGAAGUUUCCCCUGCACGUUGUGAGGAUUAAAUGAGUGUGUCUGGACACGGCAGCCCCACAGUAAAGGGCAGCCUCCUCUGCAGCAGCUCAGUGGGGACAAAGAGGGGGCUGCCUGUGGCCCCUAAGACCCUGCCCACACUAUUGACUGACUGGUUGAUAUUAACUCAGUGAGCAAAGCAGAAGGGCAGUAAAUCUGACCUGCUCACAACCUCAAAGGCCCAGAACCGCCUCUUCUCUGUUCACCUUGUCAGUCCAAAGGCCUUUGGGUGGAGGGUGCCCACGAGGCAGCUGCA